GUGGUGGAAAGUUUUUUCGGUACGAGAUGAGCCCGCGGCCUAUCAGCUUGUUGGUGGGGUAAUGGCCUACCAAGGCGUCGACGGGUAGCCGGCCUGAGAGGGUGGACGGCCACAUUGGGACUGAGAUACGGCCCAGACUCCUACGGGAGGCAGCAGUGGGGAAUAUUGCACAAUGGGCGCAAGCCUGAUGCAGCGACGCCGCGUGAGGGAUGACGGCCUUCGGGUUGUAAACCUCUUUCGACAGGGACGAAGCUUUUUGUGACGGUACCUGUAUAAGAAGCACCGGCUAACUACGUGCCAGCAGCCGCGGUAAUACGUAGGGUGCGAGCGUUGUCCGGAAUUACUGGGCGUAAAGAGCUCGUAGGUGGUUUGUCGCGUCGUCUGUGAAAUUCCGGGGCUUAACUCCGGGCGUGCAGGCGAUACGGGCAUAACUUGAGUGCUGUAGGGGAGACUGGAAUUCCUGGUGUAGCGGUGGAAUGCGCAGAUAUCAGGAGGAACACCGAUGGCGAAGGCAGGUCUCUGGGCAGUAACUGACGCUGAGGAGCGAAAGCAUGGGGAGCGAACAGGAUUAGAUACCCUGGUAGUCCAUGCCGUAAACGGUGGGCGCUAGGUGUGAGGGUCUUCCACGACUUUCGUGCCGUAGCUAACGCAUUAAGCGCCCCGCCUGGGGAGUACGGCCGCAAGGCUAAAACUCAAAGGAAUUGACGGGGGCCCGCACAAGCGGCGGAGCAU
rnacentral:rRNA from 1 species